GAUGAACGCUAGCUACAGGCUUAACACAUGCAAGUCGAGGGGAAACGACAUCGAAAGCUUGCUUUUGAUGGGCGUCGACCGGCGCACGGGCGAGUAACGCGUAUCCAACCUGCCCAUCACUUGGGGAUAACCUUGCGAAAGUAAGACUAAUACCCAAUGAUAUCUCUAGAAGACAUCUGAAAGAGAUUAAAGAUUUAUCGGUGAUGGAUGGGGAUGCGUCUGAUUAGCUUGUUGGCGGGGUAACGGCCCACCAAGGCAACGAUCAGUAGGGGUUCUGAGAGGAAGGUCCCCCACAUUGGAACUGAGACACGGUCCAAACUCCUACGGGAGGCAGCAGUGAGGAAUAUUGGUCAAUGGGCGAGAGCCUGAACCAGCCAAGUAGCGUGCAGGAAGACGGCCCUAUGGGUUGUAAACUGCUUUUAUAAGGGAAUAAAGUGAGAGUCGUGACUCUUUUUGUAUGUACCUUAUGAAUAAGGACCGGCUAAUUCCGUG
rnacentral:rRNA from 1 species